rnacentral:rRNA from 1 species
AAGUCGAACGGGAAACCUUUUAUUGAAGCUUCGGCAGAUUUAGAUUGUUUCUAGUGGCGGACGGGUGAGUAACGCGUGGGUAACCUGCCUUAUACAGGGGGAUAACAGUCAGAAAUGACUGCUAAUACCGCAUAAGCGCACAGAGCUGCAUGGCUCGGUGUGAAAAACUCCGGUGGUAUAAGAUGGACCCGCGUUGGAUUAGCUGGUUGGUGAGGUAACGGCCCACCAAGGCGACGAUCCAUAGCCGGCCUGAGAGGGUGAACGGCCACAUUGGGACUGAGACACGGCCCAGACUCCUACGGGAGGCAGCAGUGGGGAAUAUUGCACAAUGGGGGAAACCCUGAUGCAGCGACGCCGCGUGAAGGAAGAAGUAUCUCGGUAUGUAAACUUCUAUCAGCAGGGAAGAAAAUGACGGUACCUGACUAAGAAGCCCCGGCUAACUACGUGCCAGCAGCCGCGGUAAUACGUAGGGGGCAAGCGUUAUCCGGAUUUACUGGGUGUAAAGGGAGCGUAGACGGAUGGACAAGUCUGAUGUGAAAGUUUGCGGCUCAACCGUAAAAUUGCAGUUGAAACUGGCAGUCUUGAGUACAGUAGAGGUGGGCGGAAUUCGUGGUGUAGCGGUGAAAUGCUUAGAUAUCACGAAGAACUCCGAUUGCGAAGGCAGCU